UACGUAGGGUGCAAGCGUUAAUCGGAAUUACUGGGCGUAAAGCGUGCGCAGGCGGUUAUGCACGGCAGAUGUGAAAUCCCCGGGCUCAACCUGGGAACUGCAUUUGUGACUGCAUGGCUAGAGUACGGUAGAGGGGGAUGGAAUUCCGCGUGUAGCAGUGAAAUGCGUAGAUAUGCGGAGGAACACCGAUGGCGAAGGCAAUCCCCUGGACCUGUACUGACGCUCAUGCACGAAAGCGUGGGGAGCAAACAGG
rnacentral:rRNA from 1 species